GCUUAACACAUGCAAGUCGAGGGGCAGCAUGGUCUUAGCUUGCUAAGGCCGAUGGCGACCGGCGCACGGGUGAGUAACGCGUAUCCAACCUGCCUUACACUCUUGGACAGCCUUCUGAAAGGGAGAUUAAUACAAGAUGUUAUCAUGAGUAAGCAUUUUCGCAUGAUUAAAGGUUUACCGGUGUAAGAUGGGGAUGCGUUCCAUUAGAUAGUAGGCGGGGUAACGGCCCACCUAGUCUUCGAUGGAUAGGGGUUCUGAGAGGAAGGUCCCCCACAUUGGAACUGAGACACGGUCCAAACUCCUACGGGAGGCAGCAGUGAGGAAUAUUGGUCAAUGGACGAGAGUCUGAACCAGCCAAGUAGCGUGAAGGAUGAAGGUUCUAUGGAUUGUAAACUUCUUUUAUACGGGAAUAAACGGAUCCACGUGUGGAUUUUUGCAUGUACCGUAUGAAUAAGGAUCGGCUAACUCCGUGCCAGCAGCCGCGGUAAUACGGAGGAUCCGAGCGUUAUCCGGAUUUAUUGGGUUUAAAGGGAGCGUAGAUGGGUUGUUAAGUCAGUUGUGAAAGUUUGCGGCUCAACCGUAAAAUUGCAAUUGAUACUGGCAGUCUUGAGUACAGUUGAGGUAGGCGGAAUUCGUGGUGUAGCGGUGAAAUGCUUAGAUAUCACGAAGAACUCCGAUUGCGAAGGCAGCUUACUAACCUGUAACUGACAUUGAUGCUCGAAAGUGUGGGUAUCAAACAGGAUUAGAUACCCUGGUAGUCCACACGGUAAACGAUGAAUACUCGCUGUAAGGGGAUAUACAGUUUGCGGGCCAGGCGAAAGCAUUAAGUAUUCCACCUGGGGGAGUACGCCGGCAACGGUGAAACUCAAAGGGAAUUGACGGGGGCCCGCACAAGCGGAGGAACAUGUGGUUUAAUUCGAUGAUACGCGAGGAACCUUACCCGGGCUUAAAUUGCAACCGAAUAUGGCGGAAACGCUAUAGCUAGCAAUAGCGGUUGUGAAGGUGCUGCAUGGUUGUCGUCAGCUCGUGCCGUGAGGUGUCGGCUUAAGUGCCAUAACGAGCGCAACCCUUGCCGAUAGUUACUAACAGGUCAUGCUGAGGACUCUGUCGGGACUGCCAUCGUAAGAUGUGAGGAAGGUGGGGAUGACGUCAAAUCAGCACGGCCCUUACGUCCGGGGCUACACACGUGUUACAAUGGGGGGUACAGAGGGCUGCUACCACGCAAGUGGAUGCCAAUCCCAAAAACCUCUCUCAGUUCGGAUUGAAGUCUGCAACCCGACUUCAUGAAGCUGGAUUCGCUAGUAAUCGCGCAUCAGCCACGGCGCGGUGAAUACGUUCCCGGGCCUUGUACACACCGCCCGUCAAGCCAUGGGAGCCGGGGGUACCUGAAGUGCGUAACCGCAAGGAGCGCCCUAGGGUAAAACUGGUGACUGGGGCUAA
rnacentral:rRNA from 1 species